CGUGUUUCGAGUUACUCCGGAACACCCGGGAUUUUUCGUAUUUAGCCACGCCGGUCACGUGAUAUGAGCAAAAUGUUCCACAGGGGUACUUCCGGUUAAUUUUGUUUACACUGGUAACAAAAUUGUUUUUGACAAAAUAUAGAUUUUGCGGCACAAACUGUCGCAAAUCAGAUAAAGGAUAGCAAGGGAUAUAUAUUUACUUGGGAAGAUGUCAAAGUUUACCUUUUCCCAAACCCGGGAAAAGCGUUCACGCAGAGGAAACGAUGGCGUCAUUUGUGUAGAAAACCACGAGCAGCCGAAAUUGAGUGCGAUUAUUACAUUCCGUGAAAGCUGAACCAACAAAGAAACAUCAUUGUUCUAGCCAGUUUGCUUAUAUUAACUUUUAGGAAAACCAAGAGGUUGAUAACAAUGGCUGAUCUGCAUAUAAUGACUGCUAGUUAUUGGCUGGUAUGCAGUGAAAGGGAGCUAAAAAGGAGUAAAAAGUUCAUAUCAGCCAGGUGAGAAUUAAUUUCUUCUUUUUUGUGUGUUAUACAUAUGUAAUUCUUUUCUUUUGCUGCUUCAAAUCUUGUGUAUUUGAAAAUUUUCAGUCUAAUAUUUGGCAAUGUUAUAGGUAGUGUGGUUUAAAUAAACCAGUGUUAAGGAAUAUCCAGUAAUGGCAUGACAUCAUGAGAGUUUGGCAUACCGACAUUCAGAUGAUUAAUGAUGAAACUGAAGACCUCAAGUGAAAGGCAUGGAAAAUUAUCCUGUUCCCAUUAACCUGGAAAAGAGGAGGGAUGCCACAAUAUUGAUAAUAGACUUUUGUCAAUUUGAGAAGCAAAGAUGUAAAAAAAAAAAAAAAAAAAAAAAAAAAAAAAAAAUAAAUAAAUAAUGCUGAAAUUAUAAUUCAUGUAUUUGUUAAAAAUACUGUUCACUGUACAUACAUGUAUAUUUUUUUUAACUUAUUUGGAAAUACAUGAAGUAAUUCAUAUUAAAACUGAAUGUAUGAGUUUUCAUGAUUUUUAUCAAUAAAGCUUACCAUAUUUAU